rnacentral:rRNA from 1 species
UACAGAGGGGGCAAGCGUUGUUCGGAAUUACUGGGCGUAAAGGGCGCGUAGGCGGCCUGUUAAGUCGAACGUGAAAUCCCCGGGCUCAACCCGGGAACUGCGUCCGAUACUGGCAGGCUUGAAUCCGGGAGAGGGAUGCGGAAUUCCAGGUGUAGCGGUGAAAUGCGUAGAUAUCUGGAGGAACACCGGUGGCGAAGGCGGCAUCCUGGACCGGUAUUGGACGCUGAGGCGCGAAAGCCAGGGGAGCAAAC